rnacentral:rRNA from 1 species
AAAGCGCGCGUAGGCGGUUAUUCAAGUCAGAGGUGAAAGCCCGGGGCUCAACCCCGGAACUGCCUUUGAAACUAGAUGACUAGAAUCUUGGAGAGGUCAGUGGAAUUCCGAGUGUAGAGGUGAAAUUCGUAGAUAUUCGGAAGAACACCAGUGGCGAAGGCGACUGACUGGACAAGUAUUGACGCUGAGGUGCGAAAGCGUGGGGAGCAAACAGGAUUAGAUACCCGAGU